CUUUCUCCAUCUGGCAGGAGAGCGGUUUGGGGGACAAAGAGCACGGAACUUUAUCCAUCUCCUGCAGGAUCUGCUCAUGAACCUUCUCUAGGAGACCCAUGCUGGUGCUCAUAUCCUGCAUGCUCCUCAGCAGCAUCUCAUGCUGAAGUGCCAGAGGUCGCAUGUGUGGCCAGAUGCUGCGUACCGGCCAGUGGAACUCCAUCAGUGGUCCGAAGGAAGGCUGGAACACGUGGGAGCACAGCAUGGCGGCAGUGAUGUCAUCGUCUUUCCGUAAGCGGGCAGCUGUUGGAGGCGUGUCGAGCGCUUCAGAGAAACGUCCGUUGCGUUUUGUAGGUGGAAAAUAUUUUUAAAUAUUUACUCAUGUCGUUUCUCUCAUGUAUCUAUUUUUAAUAAAAGACUCGAUAUAUCCCA